rnacentral:rRNA from 1 species
GAUGAACGCUGGCGGCGUGCCUAAUACAUGCAAGUCGAGCGAACGGACGAGAAGCUUGCUUCUCUGAUGUUAGCGGCGGACGGGUGAGUAACACGUGGAUAACCUACCUAUAAGACUGGGAUAACUUCGGGAAACCGGAGCUAAUACCGGAUGAUAUUUUGAACCGCAUGGUUCAAAAGUGAAAGACGGUCUUGCUGUCACUUAUAGAUGGAUCCGCGCUGCAUUAGCUAGUUGGUAAGGUAACGGCUUACCAAGGCAACGAUGCAUAGCCGACCUGAGAGGGUGAUCGGCCACACUGGAACUGAGACACGGUCCAGACUCCUACGGGAGGCAGCAGUAGGGAAUCUUCCGCAAUGGGCGAAAGCCUGACGGAGCAACGCCGCGUGAGGGAUGAAGGUCUUCGGAUCUUAAAACUCUGUUAUUAGGGAAGAACAUAUGUGUAAGUAACUGUGCACAUCUUGACGGUACCUAAUCAGAAAGCCACGGCUAACUACGUG